rnacentral:rRNA from 1 species
GUUCCAGACUCCUACGGGAGGCAGCAGUGGGGAAUAUUACACAAUGGGGGAAACCCUGAUGCAGCGACGCCGCGUGAGUGAAGAAGUAUUUCGGUAUGUAAAGCUCUAUCAGCAGGGAAGAUAAUGACGGUACCUGAGUAAGAAGCCCCGGCUAACUACGUGCCAGCAGCCGCGGUAAUACGUAGGGGGCAAGCGUUAUCCGGAUUUACUGGGUGUAAAGGGAGCGUAGACGGCAUGGCAAGUCUGAAGUGAAAGCCCGGGGCUCAACCGCGGGACUGCUUUGGAAACUGUUAAGCUGGAGUGCAGGAGAGGUAAGUGGAAUUCCUAGUGUAGCGGUGAAAUGCGUAGAUAUUAGGAGGAACACCAGUGGCGAAGGCGGCUUACUGGACCAUAACUGACGUUGAGGCUCGAAAGCGUGGGGAGCGAACAGGAUUAGAUACCCCAGUACU